GACGAACGCUGGCGGCGUGCCUAAUACAUGCAAGUAGAACGCAGUUGCGAACGGGUGCGUAACGCGUAGGUAACUGCCUCAUAGCGGGGGAUAACUAUUGGAAACGAUAGCUAAUACCGCAUACUGUGCGAUGGACCUGCGUUGUAUUAGCUAGUUGGUGAGGUAAAUGCUCACCAAGGCGACAAUACAUAGCCUACCUGAGAGGGUGAUCGUCCACACGGGGACUGAGUCACGGCCCAUACUCCUACGGGAUGCAGCAGUAGGGAAUCUGCGGCGAGGGACGGAAGUCUGACCGAGCAACGCCGCGUGAGUGAAGAAGCUUUGCGGAUCGUAAAGCUCUGUUGUUAGAGAAGCGGAAACUAACCAGAAAGGGACGGCUAACUCCGUGCCAGCCGCCGCGGUAAUAC
rnacentral:rRNA from 1 species